rnacentral:rRNA from 1 species
AGCAGCCGCGGUAAUUCCAGCUCCAAUAGCGUAUAUUAAAGUUGUUGCAGUUAAAAAGCUCGUAGUUGAAUUUCGGGAUUGACGUGAUGGUCAUGCCUUAAGGGGUAUGAACUGUUACUGUUGAUUUCUCACCUUCUGGAGAAACUUGAUGUCCUUUAUUGGGUGUCUUGCGGAUCCAGGACCUUUACCUUGAAAAAAUUAGAGUGUUUAAAGCAGGCAUUUUUGCUCGAAUACAUUAGCAUGGAAUAAUAGAAUAGGACGGCAUGGUUCUAUUUUGUUGGUUUCUAGGAUCACCGUAAUGAUUAAUAGGGAUAGUUGGGGGCAUUAGUAUUCAAUUGUCAGAGGUGAAAUUCUUGGAUUUUAUUGAAGACUAACUACUGCGAAAGCAUUUGCCAAGGAUGUUUUCAUUAAUCAAGAACGAAAGUUAGGGGAUCGAAGACGAUCAGAUAC